rnacentral:rRNA from 1 species
UGGGGAAUUUUGGACAAUGGGGGCAACCCUGAUCCAGCCAUCCCGCGUGUGCGAUGAAGGCCUUCGGGUUGUAAAGCACUUUUGGCAGGGAAGAAACAGCCUGGGCUAAUAUCCCGGGCGACUGACGGUACCUGCAGAAUAAGCACCGGCUAACUACGUGCCAGCAGCCGCGGUAAUACGUAGGGUGCAAGCGUUAAUCGGAAUUACUGGGCGUAAAGCGUGCGCAGGCGGUUCGGAAAGAAAGGUGUGAAAUCCCAGGGCUUAACCUUGGAACUGCAGUUUUAACUACCGGGCUAGAGUACGUCAGAGGGGGGUAGAAUUCCACGUGUAGCAGUGAAAUGCGUAGAGAUGUGAGGAAUACCGACGGCGAAGGCAGCCCCCUGGGAUAAUACUGACGCUCAGGCACGAAAGCGUGGGGAGCAAACA